rnacentral:lncRNA from 1 species
UUUUUUUACCCGGGAAUGUCUCAGGCUCCAACUCUGGAAGGUGUUGAAAGCGGGAAGCAGCAAAAAAUGUGUUGUACGUUGGUGCCUUGUGGACGGGCUGGAGGGGUGCCUUGUCCUGAGUGACUCUCCCACCCAUGGUGUAGACUUUGUUGGCCACAGAAGGGCGCUCGACGCUUGCUGCGGCAGGCGCCAUCCUGAGUGACAGCUGGGCUGGCUGCCGAGUGUAAUCGGAGGGAGGGGCUGUCUCCUGAGUGACUGACAAUGCUCAGAUCCCGCCCACUCAGGCACCAUCUUUUCUGGCCACCUGGGGGCGUGUGACAUUUGCUAUGCGGGUACCAUCUUCAUUGACAGCUGAGUUGGCUACAGGGGAUGGGCACAAGAGGGGGACCGUCUUCUGGGUUACUGAGAGGGGCAGCAAGGCCCCGCCCACCCUGGCGAAGUCUUCGCUGGCCACAGGGGAGCGCCCGAUGUUUCCUGUUCGGGCUCCAUCGUCACCGACUGUAGACUGGCUGCAGAGGGUGGGCCCAAGGGAGG